rnacentral:lncRNA from 1 species
AAAACUCCUGCAUAGCAUCUGUCUGUGUGACAGGGGCUUCCCUGAGCAGGGACUCCUCUCAAGGUUAUACAGAUUCAGAGAUCUCUUACACCUUGAUAUCAAGAUGCCUUGCUGAUACAGAACCGUGACCUUGAGUAGGAGGAUGUCUUUGAGUGUGGAAUGAGUACAGACUACACGUAGGAGGCCUAAAGGACUACAUCUUUGAAGAACUACGCGUAGAUUCAUGAAAUGUUUCAGAAGCUAUUGCAAACCCUACUAUUUAGGGUACCAAGGAGUGAAAUAGCUGCGCACCGCAUAGGUUAACCUAGAGUACUGAAGAGUUCGGUCUAAGUAUCAAGAAACUUUUCUGCAAAACUCUCUGCUAGGGAAUUGUGAGGCCUUUGCCCCAAAGAGCUGUCAGGUCUCACAUCUUUACACUGAACAGGGGCAGUCCUCUGGUCACCAGCCAGUCACCAGGUGCUCUCAGCAGCACAUGCUGGGCCAUUCACAAACUUCAUAUGUUUGUUCCCACACCCUCCAUCAAAGAUGCUCUGGGGGUUACAGCUGUGCUUUGGGUAAUCACAGUCUUUGGCGUAGUCAAAAUAGGAAUGCUCAGCUUCAUUUUUACUAAUGCAGCUCAUUUUAUCCUGCCAGUUUGUAACCAAAGUUGCAUUUGAGUUUUGCAGACUCAGCCCAUGCCCUCUUAUAAACAAACCAAGCAGAUUUUAUCAAUGGUAUCAGCAGGGACAUUUCAUUUAGUUGGGAAAAGUUCUGUUAAAACUAAGACACUUAAACAAUUAUCUGUCUUGAAAAUCAUUUUAAAAGCCUUCAUAUUUUAGAGUUUUUUUUAAACUGAAUUUACUGCAGCUGUUAUUUUCAUUAUUAUUGAUAUUAUAAUUGAUACCAUUUCUUUUCUGGGAUUACAUAUUUGGAUUUGCUGUCAUACACUGAUCAGCAGCCAUAAAAUAGAGUUAACAUCUUAGUAAACAUCUCAGGUUUAAGCAAAGAAUCUUGCAGAGUAUUCCCACUGCUUGGGGAUGAAAUAUUAGGUACAUUCAGUUUUCUUUUGCAGAUGUUUCUCUCUCCCUGUAUAGGUCAGGGACAUCAAAAACAGUGUCUGUGUGUGUAAAACUUAUGGCUGUUAUCUCGUUAUUAAACUGGAAGUCUGCACC